CACCAUGGUUACGAGAAGCUUUAUUGUCUUCUCCAAUUCCAAAUGGCAGGGUUCAAUCCAAAUCGCAUCGUUGUAUCAAAACCCUAGCCAUCAGAUUAUUUGAUACCUCUGAAUUCCUGUUACUUUCUGGUGAUUCUUUUCAUCCCUUUCGUUGUUUUUCAUUUUAUCGUUAAUCAUUCUUUAAAAAAAAAGGAUAUAUAUAUAUAUAUAUAUCUUCUUAUUUUUGCACGUGUGAGAGCAUUUGAAAAGUAUCUAGAAUGGUAAAUAAGAUGAUUAGAUGAAACGGAUUGUUGGAAGGAAGUGAUUGGAACUAAAGAUAUACUUCGAGAGAAAUGGGAUUCAUUCAAUAGGAUUAAUAUAGUUUGAGAUUUGAGUAUAUUUUAUUAACUGUGAUUUUUUAUUUCCAGUAGUUGCUCAGAGUUGCGUUUUUUGGUGAUUGAAUUGCAAUUCUCUGUCAAUAGAUCAAAGAUACAGUAGAGGAGUUUAAAAGGAAGUGAGACUGCUGAAGGUGGAAAUGGAAGCUGCUCAAGUUUUUCUGGCAGAGCAGUUUUCUAGUCCUAGAUUGGAUUCUGUAUCAGCAUCCUCUGCAAUGAAGCAGUACGAUUCAUCUACAAGUAACAGCACAUGCUUCUCAUAUAUUUUUUUAAACCUUUUUUAUACAGAUGAAUGCUUUUUGGCAUUUUCAGAUGUAAGUUUUCUUUGUUAUAUAACUAGGAUUCAGGUUUUCACUAAGAAACACAAAUGCAGGAACCAGGAGAAGAAUUUGGGAUAUAAUUACCUCCCGUUGGGACAAAAUAUCAUGUCGCAUUCAUUAGCCUUGCAAGUGAAAGUGCUGGUUACAUCAUUAAAUGCAUAGCUUUAAGCUCUUGGACAUCCACUCUUGAAGAUAUUUGAGUAGAAUGACGGCCGGCAAGUCGCGACUUCUUCGCUGCAGCAGUACUGGUCUUGUCCGAAAGCCUAACAUGUGCUCUUGCAGCCAUCAGCUUCGCUCCCACCUUCACCUUCACCAUUACCAAUCACCUGAAGGUUUUUUGGACAACCUGUUCGAUAUCCAAUAUUGAUUGCUCAGAUGAAUACGUUUUUACACAGAUGUAAGUUUACUCAGGUGAAUCAUAAUUUCAACACCUUUAGCUUGAAAAAUAAAUAAAUUUUCUCUUUGGCAGCAAAUGAUCUACAUUCGUAUACAUUUGUGUUAAUGCCCUCAUGUGUGUGCACACCUUGUCUAUUUAUGGGCAUUUCAUCCAUUCAUUUGAGGAGAUGUCACAAAUUGGACCACAUUGCAAAAAGAAAAACUGCACCAUUUUGGAUGAUUCGUAAAAAUUUGCAAUCUAGAUGAUAAAUGAGAUUUUUGACACUUACGAAAGUAUUAAGAUCACUAUCCUUUAUCCCUUAGAUAUCUGAUAUUAAACAUUUUCCAUAUGGUUUUGAAAUGGUAUUUGUAGCACUUCUUCCGUUUAUGAAGACAGCAUAUUGUAAUUUGACUAAAUCUUGGAUUUACCAAAUAUCAUCACAUUCCAUCAAGUAGAAUUAAUUCUCACUGAAGUUAGCAAUGGAUUCUUUGUCCAGUUAAUUAAUUCGGAAGUAGACAUUCUUAAAGAUGGUUUUGAGUGUUUUCAUUCCUCAAAAAUGCCAUCUGUCAUGAUCACUGUGUUUUAAUUUAAGGCAAAUACAUUUCUUAAAAUCCAAGUUCACAUAUUUAUUUAAGGCAAAUACAUUUCUUAAAAUCCAA
rnacentral:lncRNA from 1 species